AUUUGCGCUGGCAAACCUGGAGAACCUGACAUCCCAUCCGGAGGGACCUCUCCCUGGACUUGAGAAAAUGAGUCACCUGGGCCACCUCGUUGUCAUCAAGAGGAGCGGGGUCGACGGCCCCCACUUCCCCUUGUGGCGCAAAACCUGCUUGUUUGGAAGGGGUAUUGAAUGUGACAUCCAUAUACAGCUUCCUAUAGUGUCAAACCAACACUGCUAAACUGAAGUCACUCAGCAGGAGGCAGUAUUGUCUAAUUUGAGUAACACAAGCCCAACACAAUUAAAUGAGCCAGUAAAACUAAAACAUGGAGAUAUCAU
rnacentral:lncRNA from 1 species